rnacentral:rRNA from 1 species
CAAUAGCGUAUAUUGAAGUUGUUGCGGUUAAAAAGCUCGUCGUUGGAUUUCUGUUGAGGUCGAACAGUGCCGCCCUAUGGGUGCGCAACUGGCUCGGCUUCGGCAUCUUCUUGGAGAGCGCAUCUGCACUUAACUGUGUGGAUCGUACUUCAAGUCAGUUACUUUGAGGAAUUGUGAGUGUUUCAAGCAGGCUUACGCCGUUGAAUCCGUUAGCAUGGAAUAAUAGGAUAGGACCUCGGUUCUAUUUUGUUGGUUUUGAGAGCUGGGGCAGCGAUUGAUAGGGACGGAUGGAGGCGUCCGAACUUUACUGUCAGAGGUGAAAUUCUUAGAUCGGUCAAAGGCGAACUACUGCGAACGCAUUCGCCAAGAAUGUUUUCUUUA